rnacentral:rRNA from 1 species
CACGUAGGCGGACUGUUAAGUCGGGGGUGAAAUCCUGGGGCUCAACCUCAGAAUUGCCUCCGAUACUGGCAGUCUCGAGUGCGGGAGAGGUGAGUGGAAUUCCCAGUGUAGAGGUGAAAUUCGUAGAUAUUGGGAAGAACACCAGUGGCGAAGGCGGCUCACUGGCCCGUAACUGACGCUGAGGUGCGAAAGCGUGGGGAGCAAACA